rnacentral:rRNA from 1 species
UCUUCGUGAACAUGGCGAACUGCUCAGUAACACGUGGACAACCUACCCUUAGGACUGGGAUAACCCCGGGAAACUGGGGAUAAUACCGGAUAAGUCAUAGAUGCUGGAAUGCCCUAUGAUUCAAAGCUCCGGCGCCUAAGGAUGGGUCUGCGGUCUAUCAGGUUGUAGUGGGUGUAACGUACCUACUAGCCGACGACGGAUACGGGUUGUGAGAGCAAGAGCCCGGAGAUGGAUUCUGAGACACGAAUCCAGGCCCUACGGGGUGCAGCAGGCGCGAAAACUUUACACUGCGGGAAACCGCGAUAAGGGAACCCCGAGUGCCAGCACCAAGUGCUGGCUGUCCAGGUGACCAAAACUCAUCUGAUAGCAAGGGCCGGGCAAGACCGGUGCCAGCCGCCGCGGUAACACCGGCGGCCCGAGUGGUAACCGUCUUUAUUGGGUCUAAAGGGUCCGUAGCCGGUCUGAAAAGUCUUCUGGGAAAUCUGGCAGCUUAACCGUCAGGCUUCCAGGGGAUACUGUCAGACUUGGGACCGGGAGAGGUAAGAGGUACUACAGGGGUAGGAGUGAAAUCUUGUAAUCCCUGUGGGACCACCAGUGGCGAAGGCGUCUUACCAGAACGGGUCCGACGGUGAGGGACGAAAGCUGGGGGCACGAACCGGAUUAGAUACCCGGGUAGUCCCAGCCGUAAACGAUGUUCGCUAGGUGUCAGGGACGGUGCGACCGUUUCUGGUGCCGUAGGGAAGCCGUGAAGCGAACCACCUGGGGAAGUACGGCCGCAGGGCUGAAACUUAAAGGAAUUGGCGGGGGAGCACUACAACGGGUGGAGCCUGCGGUUUAAUUGGACUCAACGCCGGAAAACUCACCGGGGGCGACAGCAACAUGU